CCAUUUCCAGCAGGGUCAGGCGCGACGAGCAGCUCUGCCGAAGCUCCUCUGCGCCAGGACUCUUCAGAUCCAGGACACUAGCAUAGACGGGUGAACAGCAUGGAAAACUCACUGACAUUCCAAAAAAUCACCAUUACCAAGGAAAGGUCAUGCAGUGGAUGGAAAACUGGAGGCAAACAAAGAUUCCCAAAAUUAGCACUGCGGUUCAUACUGGGUCAAGUUCUGCUGAACUAUUAGGGAAGAAUAAACUGAGUGACGCUAAAAGACAUGAAA